GUGUGUCAGAAACCCUGAAUCCCAAAGCUGGCAAGUUUUGUUAACGGAAGGGAAGGGGAAUCAGAUUUUUGAUAAGUUUUCUAGACAUUUUUUUUUUCUUUGCUGAUUCAACGUCACAAGGUUUGGGUGUGCUGGAUGUACAGAUUGGAAAUUUGUAGGAUUCAUCUUUGAAGUACAGUGACAAAGUCAAAUGGCUUCAAGAAUAUUUGGGGGGGCAUCAUGCUCAUGAACGCCCUUCGUUACACUCAUUAUGAUUAGCGUAGUAGUAAAUUCAUUAAACCAAAUAAGAUAAUGUGUUCACUAAUCAUACUUUGAAGAUAAUUUUCGCGUUUUUACAUCACGGUUGUGUUUAACCAAAGCAACCCUAUUAAUUAAACAGACGGCAAGAGUAAUUAAGAGUUUUUAAUUCCCAGUUUGGUGGCCUCUUCCUCUGAACCAAGUUGUGGACCCACCGACCUUCUUCCGCAGGCAAUGUGGUGUUCUUUACACUCACAACCGCAUGUAUGUAUCGUAGAAGAAGGUGAAGGUAUGGGUGGUGGUGCUCAUCCGACUAUUUUUUCCAUGGUCCUGCGGUGAUUCUGUAUGUGUGUGUGUGUUCCCAGUAUAUGUUUACCCUUCUAGGUCAUUUUCUGCUCCUCACCGUCGGCUCUUUCCGCAACACAUUGUCCUGCGUACUUAUCCAUCCGAAGCAUCCAAACGUCGUCAAUUAUUUGAAAACACAGAGACCUUGGCAUAUAUCUGGAAGAAGACGAAGAUAAUGAAAUUCAUAAAAUAAACAAAGCGAAAAGGAGGGGGGGGGGAGAAAAAGAAGUGGAGGGGACUUAUUCACCUCAAUGAAUCCAGAGUUUCAGAAAGAGACAGAAUGGGUAUACUGCUCUACCCGUC
rnacentral:lncRNA from 1 species